rnacentral:rRNA from 1 species
GGUCAAGUUAUUAAGGGUCUACGGUGGAUGCCUUGGGGCCAAGGGCCGAUGAAGGGCGUGGCAAGACUACGAAAAUCCUCGGUCAGCUGUCUAGCAAGCUUAACCGGGGGUGCCCGAAUGGGGUAACCCGUCUCGAGUAAUGUUGAGACAUCCGUUUUAACGGAAGGUAAGUGAGGGAACUGAAACAUCUAAGUACCUCGAGGAAUAGAAAUCAAAAGAGAUUCCCAAAGUAGUGGCGAACGAAAUGGGAAUCAGCCCAAACCGUGGUGGCUUAAAGGACUGAGGUCUUAUGCUACCAGGGUGUUGUAACAUGUGCCUGUCUUCUCCUCAGAAGGAGACAAAGAGUUUUAUAAAAUUUCUGUCUAGUCGAACAAACCUGGAAGGGAUGACCAUAGAAGGUGAUAGUCCUGUAGAUGAAAGAUAGAAAACUCUUGGCAUUUUGUUGAGUACCACGGGACACGUGAAAUCUUGUGGGAAUCUGGGGGGACCACCCUCCAAGGCUAAAUACCCUUGGCCACCGAUAGUGAACCAGUACCGUGAGGGAAAGGUGAAAAGAACCCCGGGAGGGGAGUGAAAUAGACCUGAAACCGUAGACUUACAAGCCGUGGGAGGUUCGACUUGUCGAACUGACCGCGUGCCUAUUGAAGAAUGAGCCGGCGAGUUAAUUUAGGCAGCUAGGUUAAGGAAUAUGAGUUCUGGAGCCGAAGCGAAAGCGAGUCCUAAUAGGGCGUGAACCGGGCGGAAACGGAUCCAAGAGUUGAUAUUUUAAACGGAAUGGAAGUACGACUUGUCGAACUGAAGUGAUGUUUUUAAUAGAUUCUGGAGGGCGAGUUUCCAUUAUGUCUGGUGUGUUGUCUGGAUUAGACCCGAAACCGGGUGAUCUACCCAUGGCCAGGUUGAAGCACCGAUAAUAUCGGCGUGGAGGACCGAACCCGUGUCUGGUACAAAAGGCUGGGAUGAGCUGUGGGUAGGGGUGAAAUGCCAAUCGAACCCGGAGAUAGCUGGUUCUCCCCGAAAUGUAUUUAGGUACAGCCUCAAUGAAGUCUUGGGGAGGUAGGGCACUGGAUGGGCUAGGGAGCGUGAGCUUACCAAACCCAACCAAACCACGAAUGCCCUAAGAUGAUCAUUGGGAGUGAGACUCCGGGGGAUAAGCUCCGGGGUCGAGAGGGAAACAGCCCAGAUCGCAGGCUAAGGUCCCCAAGUGUUGACUAAGUGUGAAAGGAAGUGAAGUUCCUAAAACAGCUAGGAGGUUGGCUUAGAGGCAGCCACCCUUUAAAGAGUGCGUAACAGCUCACUAGUCUAGGAAACUUGCGCCGAAAAUGUAACGGGGCUCAAGUCAACCACCGAAGCCGCGACUUUCUAGUUUUACUAGAAGGGGUAGGGGAGCGUUGCCAGCGCGUUGAAGUCGAGACGUGAGUCUCGGUGGAGUGCUGGGAAGUGAGAAUGCCGGCAUGAGUAGCGACAAUCCUGGUGAGAAUCCAGGACACCGAAAGCCUGAGGUUUCCUACGCAACGCUGAUCGACGUAGGGUAAGUCGGGCCUAAGCCGUAGCGUAAAAGCAAAGGCGAUGGACAACGGGUUAAAAUUCCCGUACCACCGGUACCUCGUUUUAAAACAAAGGGGGGACACGGAAAGGUAGACAGAGCGUGCCUAUCGGACAUGGUACGUUUGCUCUUGAAGGUCAAGCUAGGAUAGGCAAAUCCGUUCUAGCGUUAUGAACUGAGGGGAGUGAAAACCCUAGGGCUUAUGCCCUGAGGAAUUCUGUUGAUCCUAUGCCGUCGAGAAAAGCCUCGUUGUAAGAGGUGCUGGUGUCCGUACCGCAAACCGACACAGGUGGGCAGGGGUAAAUAUCCCUAGGUGAACGAGAUAACCCUCGUUAAGGAAUUCGACAAUCUAGCCCUGUAACUUUGGGAGAAAGGGUGCCCAUGAGGUGACCUCCACUAGCUGGAGAGAGCCUUUGUGGGCCGCAGUGAAGGGGUCCAGGCGACUGUUUAUCAAAAACACAGGUCUCUGCUAAGCCGAAAGGUGAUGUAUAGGGGCUGACGCCUGCCCAGUGCCGGAAGGUUAUGGGGAAGGGUUAGAUUCCGCUUGCGGAAUCGAAGCUCUGAACCGAAGCCCCGGUGAACAGCGGCCGUAACUAUAACGGUCCUAAGGUAGCGAAAUCCCUUGUCGGGUAAGUUCCGACCCGCACGAAUGGCGU